CAGCGAACUCUUAACCAGCCGGCGAUCAAAUUAACUCUUUUCCAAAUCGCCGACCACUAAGCAAUUCCAGUUUUUGAUUGAGCGGCAAUUCACUAAACAUGGUCAAAGCUGGCCAUAUUAUACUUUUGACUCAGCUUUUGGUCAUUGCGAACGGG